rfam:Papio anubis isolate 1X1155 chromosome 7, whole genome shotgun sequence.
CCAAAGGCUCUUUUCAGGGCCAUCAUCUUUCCUGACAGGUAGUGG